rnacentral:rRNA from 1 species
AUACGUAGGUGGCAAGCGUUGUCCGGAAUUAUUGGGCGUAAAGCGCGCGCAGGCGGUCCUUUAAGUCUGAUGUGAGAGCCCACGGCUCAACCGUGGAGGGUCAUUGGAAACUGGAGGACUUGAGUGCAGAAGAGGAAAGUGGAAUUCCAAGUGUAGCGGUGAAAUGCGUAGAGAUUUGGAGGAACACCAGUGGCGAAGGCGACUUUCUGGUCUGUAACUGACGCUGAGGCGCGAAAGCGUGGGGAGCAAACAGGAUUAGAUACCCUGGUAGUCCACGCCGUAAACGAUGAGUGCUAAGUGUUAGGGGGUUUCCGCCCCUUAGUGCUGCAGCUAACGCAUUAAGCACUCCGCCUGGGGAGUACGGUCGCAAGACUGAAACUCAAAUGAAUUGGCGGGG